rnacentral:rRNA from 1 species
UUCAGCGACAAUAGCACAAUGGUACCACCUGAUCCCAUGCCGAACUCAGUAGUGAAACGUUGUAGCGCCGAUGGUAGCGGCGAUUUUCAAGCUACUUGUCGCCUGUU